rnacentral:lncRNA from 1 species
GUCUUGCAAUAUAUUUUAAUUUUAAGAGGAAAUUAAUCACUGUUUAGAUCCUAUCGAGUGACGAUAUUUUGUUGAUAUCAAAGCUUUACAGGCUUACAAAUAUACAAAAUGACUUACUUAUCAAACAUUAUUAAAUAUAUGCCGUUAAUUCCGUUCAUAAGUCGUCGUUGCGUCCCGCUAUUCGACUUUGCACAAAAAGUUUUUUUUUCAACCAUAUUAUCCUAAAUACAUUCAUAUAUCGUUAUACUAUAACGACUGUUGUCUUAUUUGUUGUUAGAGUGAAAUUUUGUAAGUUCAAUAAAAUAAACCGCCCA